rnacentral:rRNA from 1 species
CACCAGCUCUUCGAGUGGUAGGGACGAUUAUUUGGCCUAAAGCGUUCGUAGCCUGCUCAGUAAGUCUUCCGUUAAAUCCAGCGGCCUAACCGUUGGGCUGCGGAGGGUACUACCGAGCUAGGGAGCGGGAGAGGCCGACGGUACUCUUGGGGUAGGGGUGAAAUCCUAUAAUCCCAGAAGGACCACCAGUGGCGAAGGCUGUCGGCUAGAACGCGUCCGACGGUGAGGAACGAAAGCUGGGGGAGCGAACCGGAUUAGAUACCCGGGUAGUCCCAGCUGUAAACUUUGCGGGCUAGGUGUUGGAAUGGCUACGAGCCAUUUCAGUGCCGCAGGGAAGCUCAUAAGCCCGCCGCUUGGGAAGUACGGCCGCAAGGCUGGAACUUAAAGGAAUUGGCGGGGGAGCACCACAAGGGGUGAAGCUUGCGGUUU